GGUUACUGAAGGAGGCCUGAGUUGACCCACAUUCGGAGCACAGUGUUGGAGGGCUCAGUAUGCUAUAACCAGACUCACCCUCGUGUUGAGAACAAAAGUCAAAAGAAACAAAAGCAGCCUGACUCAGGAAUCCGGGGACAGAGCAUGCAAGCUUAGGAUUUGUAAUGCAGUAGAGAACUUCCAGGGCUCCCAGGUGGCUUUUGCACGUUGUCCAAGAGAAGGUCCAUGGAGGCUCCUGUGUCUGCUUUUAAUGUGGAAGGCCGUUUCUUUACAAUGAGGAUAGCCUAUUGCUCAACAUGAUGAUGCAUAAACGCCCUUCUAAAUAUGUCAGGUAGCGCA